rnacentral:rRNA from 1 species
CCUACGGGGCGCUGCAGUGGGGAAUAUUGCACAAUGGGGGGAACCCUGAUGCAGCAACGCCGCGUGAAGGAAGACGGUUUUCGGAUUGUAAACCUCUGUCAGCAGGGAAGAACGGUCACUGUGCUAAUCAGCAGUGAAUUGACGGUACCUGCAAAGGAAGCACCGGCUAACUCCGUGCCAGCAGCCGCGGUAAUACGGAGGGUGCGAGCGUUAAUCGGAAUUACUGGGCGUAAAGCGCUCGUAGGCGGUAUGUCAAGUCAAGGGUGAAAUCCCCGCGCUCAACGUGGGAACUGCCUUUGAAACUGGCAAACUGGAGUGUGUGAGAGGAUAGUGGAAUUCCAGGUGUAGGAGUGAAAUCCGUAGAUAUCUGGAGGAACAUCAGUGGCGAAGGCGACUAUCUGGCACAUAACUGACGCUGAGGAGCGAAAGCGUGGGUAGCAAACAGGAUUAGAUACCCCAGUAGUC